rnacentral:rRNA from 1 species
GGGUGCUCGAGUGGCGAACGGGUGAGUAACACGUGAGUAACCUGCCCUUGACUUUGGGAUAACUUCAGGAAACUGGGGCUAAUACCGGAUAGGAGCUCCUGCCGCAUGGUGGGGGUUGGAAAGUUUCGGCGGUUGGGGAUGGACUCGCGGCUUAUCAGCUUGUUGGUGGGGUAGUGGCUUACCAAGGCUUCGACGGGUAGCCGGCCUGAGAGGGUGACCGGCCACAUUGGGACUGAGAUACGGCCCAG